GAGGCGUGGUGGUGCACGUGCGAGGAAGAGCAAAGGGUUUCCCUGCUGCGGCGCUGGGAAGGGCUACUGCUAGGGUUUUCUGAUUUUGGUCUUUAGGGCUUAGGUGAUUUGGGCCAGGGGUAUCCGGGCUAGCUAAUUCGGGUCUGGUAUUGGGCUGUAUGUAAAGUAUUUUGGGUCUGGGUAAUGGGUUUAAGCUACUAUUGUAAUUGGGUUAUGGUAUUGGGCUGUAUGAAUUUGGCCCAUUGUAAUUGCCCAUUGUAAUUGGACUUUAUUGACA
rnacentral:lncRNA from 1 species